UCCAUUCAAUUUAUAUCAUAUGGACUUGUGGAUAUUUUUAUUUUAUAGGUUAUAAUCCUUUCUACCGUGAUUUAUGUUCCUGUCAGAUACUUUCAAUGACCCACAUCACAACCAUGGCCACUCGAUAGGUGUAAAUCCACAGUCCUGUACAGCCUAAGUCAGAUCUUUUGGCUUUUCUGUCUCGGGACCUUCUCCAAAACCCCUCAACCCCAUGCCCCAGAUCCCCCUCUCCACAGGAAACCACUGCUAGUGGUUUGGGUUGUGUCCUUCCAGACCCUUCUGCCUGCAUUUACACACGUUGGUCUCUGCCUGUUCCACUUGUGGGUGAAAGUAUUUUCAUACAAACGAGAUCUUUUCACCAAUAUGUCCUGGUUGCUGUGGUCGGCGGAAUAACAGCCCUGAAAGAUGUCCAUGUCCUAAUCCCUGGAACCUGUGAAUAUGGUACUUAAUAUGGCACAACAGCACUGGGAUCCGAACCCUUGACCUUGAAGAAUCAUGUGCUGUUUUCAACCACUGACCGUGUGGGGAUUCAUCGCAGCCGUCUUAGGAAUCUCGUGCAAGUACCUUUGUGCGAUCGUUUAUAAAGCUGUCUGGUUUUCUGAUUCUAA